rnacentral:rRNA from 1 species
GUAGUUGAAGGGCCGCGGUAUUUUGACCGUGCAAAGGUAGCAUAAUCAUUAGUCUUUUAAUUGAGGGCUGGAAUGAAUGGUUUGACGAAAUAUUAACUGUCUCUUUAUGAUAGGUGGAAUUUAACUUUUGAGUCAAAAGGCUUAGAUGAGUAUAAAAGACGAGAAGACCCUAUAGAUCUUUAUAUAAUUGUGUGAUUAUGAAAUUGGUUGUAUUGAUUAUAAUCAUGUUAUUGUAUUUUGUUGGGGUGACAUGAAGAUAAAAGUAACUCUUUAUAAUGGAAACAUUGAUUUAUGGUUGGUUGAUCCGUUAUUAACGAUUAUAAGAUAAAGUUACCUUAGGGAUAACAGCGUAAUUUUUUUUGAGAGUUCAUAUCGACAAGAAAGAUUGCGACCUCGA